GAUCCACAGGAGGAAGUGAUGCCACAACAGACACACAGAGUGUCCAUCAUGACCCUAACAGUGACACGUACACAGGUCUGAACAUGAGGACCAUGUCACCUGACUACGACACUCUGGCAAGUGUCCAUCCUGACCCUAACAGUGACAUGUGCACAGCUAUGAAGAAGAAGACCAGAUCACCAGAGUGACACCCUGGAGUAGAAUGUGAGGGACUCCCCCAGUGACACAGCCCCUCAGAUAGAUGCUGAGCCCUCCGAUUAUGAGAACUGGAGCGAACCACCACAGAACCUGGACAGUGACACAGACCCUCAGAUAGAUGUUGAGCCCUCCGAUUAUGAGAACUGGAGCGAACCACCACAGAACCUGGACAGUGACACAGACCCUCAGAUAGAUGUUGAGACCUCCGAUUAUCAGAACUGAAGAGAACCACCACAGAACCUGGACUGAAGUCAACCAACACAGAACCUGGACUGUAGAGUACCAUAACAGAACCUGGUCCGAAGAGAAGAGAACCCCCAAUGUUUUUUCCUUGUAAUGUUAAUUAAAUAUAUUGAAGAUAAAUAGGCUGGAUUAUACUUUUACUCUUUUACAAUGGGACAUUUCCCCCCAAAAUGUCCAAAGUUAUUCUCAUGUAGUAAUGAAAACAACAAUGAAGGCGAUGCGGGCACCAGCUGGAAAAUGUGAAAAAGUUUGUGCAGGUCCUGUUCUGACUGGUGAUGCGCAAAUGUCUGCAUACUUGAUCUGCAGAAACAAUUGGGAGGUGCUUGGGAAAGUUCGUCAGGCUCAGUAAUUCCCCCAAAAGUAACUUGUCAGAAAAAGUGAAAUGGCCUACUCUGAAUUAAUGAGGACCCCCAAUUCAAACUGUUGUUAGAAAAUAAAACUUGUUAGAAAAUCUGAUGAAUUUGACAAGUUGAAACAGCCUAUACAUAAAAGCAGGCAGCGUGCCUUAGUUUGAGGGCAGCGCGGAUUGAGACAUUAACCUUU